GGCAGGACAAUGGUGUGAACCCAGGAGGCGGAGCUUACAGUGAGCCAAGAUCGAGCCACUGCCUCCAGCCUGGGCGACAGAGCGAGACACUGUCUCAAAAAAAAAAAAAAAGCCUGAUUAUAAACUGAUAAAUAUCUAGAACAUCCCAGGUGCAUGUUGUAGACUAGUGUUGGAGCCUGUGCUUUUGCUGUUGCACAUUACUUGUGAAGCAGGACAUGGCAAGCCUGGCUCUAUUGCUAGACCAGAAACUGAGUGGAGAAAUUCAAGCAUUAGCUGACAAGAAAUGAUCACAUUUGAGAUGUACUGUGCACUAUCUGAUACUGGGGACACAGAGGGUGAGGAGAUAUGCUUGUUCACAUACAUUAUCAGGAAAUACACAGCAGUUAUAGGAACCAUGUUUAUAAGAUGGAGCUGAUUUACAGUCAGACUGCAAAGCUCUAAAAUUAUCUCCACGAUGCCCAGAUGUCUGGCUCUGACUCUUGGUUGGGAUAAGGCCAGUGAGCUAUACAAGGUACUAGUUAAAGUCUGAUAUUCCCUGGGAGACUCCCAGAGCCAAUUUGUUUAUGAUGGCUUUUUAACUUUUUUAAACUUACAUAACCAGUUAGAUAGCCUGGCUUGACUAUGUAACCAGUGAACAGAGAAGCAUAAAUACCCAUGCAGUGGCUGGGCACGGUGGCUUAUACCUUUAUUUUUAUUAUAUAU
rnacentral:lncRNA from 1 species